CAUGCACCAGUGGGGUCCCUCGGCCUGGCCUGCACCCCCUUGCAAUCCAGGACCCCUCGGGGGAUGUUGGAGAGCGGGGGUUUUGGCCGAUCCCGCAGGCCAGGCUGAGGGACCCCACUGGUGCACA
rnacentral:pre_miRNA from 1 species